rnacentral:tRNA from 1 species
GGCACUGUAGCCCAAUCGGCAGAGGCGGCUGGUUUAAACCCGGCAUGUUGAGAGUUCGAGUCUCUCCAGUGUCA